rnacentral:rRNA from 1 species
UGGCGACCGGCGUACGGGUGAGUAACGCGUAUCCAACCUGUCCCUUUACUAGUGGGACAGCCCGUCGAAAGGCGGAUUAAUACCGUAUGUUGUCAUGUUGAUGCAUUAUUUUCAUGACCAAAGGCUUCGGCCGGUAAAGGAUGGGGAUGCGUCUGAUUAGCUUGCCGGCGGGGUAACGGCCCACCGGGGCGACGAUCAGUAGGGGUUCUGAGAGGAAGGUCCCCCACAUUGGAACGGAGACACGGUCCAAACUCCUACGGGAGGCAGCAG